rnacentral:tRNA from 4 species
GGAGAGGUCGCAUAGAGGCCGAGUGCGCUCGCUUGGAAAGCGGGUAUACCGCAAGGUAUCGCGGGUUCGAAUCCCGCCCUCUCCGCCA